AGAGUUUGAUCAUGGCUCAGAAUCAACGCUGGCGGCGCGCCUAACACAUGCAAGUCGAACGAGAAAGCAGGAGCAAUCUUGUGAGUAAAGUGGCGUACGGGUGAGUAACACGUGGAUUAUCUACCCUCUUGUGGGGGAUAACCCUGGGAAACCGGGGCUAAUACCGCAUAAGCUCGAGAGAGGAAAGCAGCAAUGCGCAGGAGGAGGAGUCCGCGGCCGAUUAGCUAGUUGGUAGGGUAAAAGCCUACCAAGGCUACGAUCGGUAGCCGGCCUGAGAGGGCACACGGCCACACUGGCACUGAAACACGGGCCAGACUCCUACGGGAGGCAGCAGUGGGGAAUCUUGCACAAUGGGGGCAACCCUGAUGCAGCGACGCCGCGUGAGCGAUGAAGCCCUUCGGGGUGUAAAGCUCUUUCGGCAGGGAAGAUUAUGACGGUACCUGCAGAAGCAGCUGCGGCUAACUACGUGCCAGCAGCCGCGGUAAUACGUAGGCAGCAAGCGUUGUUCGGAGUUACUGGGCGUAAAGGGUGUGUAGGCGGUUCUCUAAGUCUGGUGUGAAAUCUCCCGGCUCAACUGGGAGGGUGCGCCGAAAACUGGAGGACUAGAGUGCGGGAUGGGAGAGUGGAAUUCCUGGUGUAGCGGUGAAAUGCGUAGAUAUCAGGAGGAACACCUGUGGUGUAGACGGCUCUCUGGACCGCAACUGACGCUGAGACACGAAAGCGUGGGUAGCAAACAGGAUUAGAUACCCNNGUAGUCC
rnacentral:rRNA from 1 species